NNNNNAACAAGGAUUCCCCUAGUAACUGCGAGUGAAGCGGGAAGAGCUCAAAUUUAAAAUCUGGCGGUCUCAGGCCGUCCGAGUUGUAGUCUGGAGAAGUGCUUUCCGCGCUGGACCGUGUACAAGUCUCUUGGAACAGAGCGUCGUAGAGGGUGAGAAUCCCGUCUUUGACACGGACUACCAGUGCUUUGUGAUGCGCUCUCGAAGAGUCGAGUUGUUUGGGAAUGCAGCUCAAAAUGGGUGGUAAAUUCCAUCUAAAGCUAAAUAUUGGCGAGAGACCGAUAGCGAACAAGUACCGUGAGGGAAAGAUGAAAAGCACUUUGGAAAGAGAGUUAAACAGUACGUGAAAUUGCUGAAAGGGAAACGCUUGAAGUCAGUCGCGUCGUCCGGAACUCAGCCUCGCCUUCGCUUGGUGCAUUUUCCGGUCGACGGGCCAGCAUCGAUUUCGACUGUCGGAUAAAGGCUGGGGGAAUGUGGCACCUUCGGGUGUGUUAUAGCCUCCAGUCACAUACGACGGUCGGGAUCGAGGAACUCAGCACGCCUUUAUGGUCGGGGUUCGCCCACGUACGUGCUUAGGAUGCUGGCGUAAUGGCUUUAAACGACCCGUCUUGAAACACGGACCAAGGAGUCUAACAUGCCCGCGAGUGUUUGGGUGGUAAACCCGAGCGCGUAAUGAAAGUGAAAGUUGAGACUCCUGUCGUGGGAGGCAUCGACGCCCGGACCAGACCUUCUGUGACGGCUCCGCGGUAGAGCGUGUAUGUUGGGACCCGAAAGAUGGUGAACUAUGCCUGAAUAGGGUGAAGCCAGAGGAAACUCUGGUGGAGGCUCGUAGCGAUUCUGACGUGCAAAUCGAUCGUCAAAUUUGGGUAUAGGGGCGAAGGACUAAUCGAACCAUNUAGAGNNNNNNNNNNNNN
rnacentral:rRNA from 1 species